rnacentral:misc_RNA from 1 species
UACCUGCGCAGCACUCAA